UUAUUUGUCCUAACGUUUUUGCUAGCCUCUUCGACUCAUUAUUUCGUGUGAAGCUUUUCUUCUAAUUUCUAUGUCCUCUGUUUGAUAUCUUUGCUAACUUUUUGUCAAGUUUGGGGUACAAUUCCCUUCAGUCGGUCGCUUUUAACAAUUGCACUGCAGUUGCUCGAUAUAUCAUUAAGGUUUGAUUUUCUUCAAAAUCGAAAUUCAUGACACACCUACCAGCCCAUUAUAUUUUUGUAGAGUGAGAUUUAAGUUCAAAUUCUUGAAUGUGAGGUUUAAUUUUUAAUUAAGCUAUAAAAAUUGUGCAUUUAGUUUAUAAAAUCUGGAUAUUGUGGGUAACUAAAAAGUUGAAUUGUAUGGAAGAAAAAAGAGGAAAGAAAUGUGGCACAAAUUAGUUAAUACUCUAUUACAAAAUAGAACGUAUUGUCUUGAUUGUUAGAUUUGAGCUUUUUGUUAAAAUUAAGCCAUACUAUUGUCUUUAGUUUCCACUGAGGGGGAUAUUAAUAUUGAUUUAGAGUAUUGCCUGAGAUAAGCGUAGACACUAGCCCAAAAAGAAAAACUAGGAGAAGGAUAACUAGCAAAUAUUUGAUAAAUGCUGGUUGUGAUAAUACCUGAAAUCAUAUUGCUAUGACACACUAUUUAUAAGCGCACUAUUUAAGACCUUCACUACCGGCUUACAACUCCACUGCCAUGUUCUCAAGCUGCUUUGCAAUCCUGCUUAUUAUUUUAGCUGAUUUGAUUGAUAUCUAUGUAGAUUAAAUAGAGUAUAAUUUAACCAGACAUGUGGUCAAAGUGUCAAUUUUUUUUAAUUGAAAAUUGUCACUCUAGAAAUACUACUGUCUGUUACGGUGCUUUGAUUUUGAGUGUUUUCCGAUAACUUGGUUCUCAAAAUGAUUUUUCAUUGUUUACUGAAAUUGAGCCUGAGAGGAGUGUCACUCAAUGCGGUUAUACUAAAUGGUGAGUGAUUAAACUCUUCCCUUUACCAUAUUAAAAUGAUCUUGCAUAAAUUUGAAGUCAGUGAUGUGCGUUAAUAUUGCAGCCUGACAUAUUUUAUGAUUUAUGGCAAUGCCCGUCUUGCUCCAUUUUAUAACUGUCAUUGCUACGAUUGUCACACGCUUACACAUUUAGGAUAAUCUCUUAUCUUUAUUCUGUGUAAGAGAUAAGGACAUAGGAUUUCUCAUACUUCCUAAUAGGAUGUGCAUAUUUAACUUUACCAAACAUGAGUUAAGAAUAGUGUCACUGUUUUGCAGGAAAGAUUUGGUUGAGUGUGCAGAAUAUUUCUUCAAGACAUAUGAAGGCAGAAUGAAGAAUUAAUUCUCAUUUAAUGAACCAAGAGUUAUUGCUGAUCCAGGAUACUAUACUGAAUUCUCUGCACCUGGAAAAUGCUCCAAAACAAUUGGCAGCUGCACAAUAUGAGAUUAUGCAAAUCUUGAGACAGAGACGUCUUCCACACCUCGCAUCUAGUUGAGGUUAUUCGUUACCAAGAUCAGAGGGUGAGCUCCUAUCCGUGCCAUAUCGCCUGAAGAUCUUUCUUUAUUCAGAUGUCUACCUUUCAUCCCAGACAUUAUGUUUAUUUUUAGAUAGUAUCUUUUCGCUUUAGACAUUGUUGGUUAGAGUCCUUGUACGGUGACUUUCAGAUUUUGGGGAUGUAAUAGCUAGAUUUCCACACUUGCUAUU